rnacentral:lncRNA from 1 species
CUCCUACGUCCACAAGAAUUCUAUGUCAACAAUAGUGUCAUUGGUCAUGCAAUUAUAUUACAAAUAAAAUACUCGUAUCAAGUAGGACUCUAUUGGAUAAAAACAUCCAACUAAUUCAAUCCUACUAAAAGUAUACUAUCUACCUCUAUAAAUACAUGACCCAAGUCCAUUAUUCAGGUACGCUUUUACAUACAAUUUCAGUAUACGUUCUCAUAUAAAUUCUUUGUCUGACUUAAGCAUCGAAGGGGCGACGAGAACACACCUCGUUGCCUUUGUUUCAGGUACUAGAAGGCUCUGUUCGUGCUCUUUUUCAGUCCUGAAGUUCGGGAGGUCUACUAGGUACAUUUUUUGGUAGCAUCAUUGGCGCCGUCUGUGGGAAACGCUACCAAAAGCCAUGGUGAACACACGUUCAGGUCUUCCUCUAGCAAGCUCAUCCGUUCCAGAUCCUCAUCCUCCUCCUGAAGGUCAUCAUGUCCCUCAAGAAGAAUCAUCAGAGAUGCCAGCACCUCUCCCGACGGUCGUCACAACCGAAGCCUUUGAAGAGCUCCAUCAGCAGGUGGCCACACUCACGCAACUGUUAAGUCAAAGAAAUUCACAUCCGUCACCAGCGCAGGCAGAGCAUGGUGAUUUUAUAGCUGAUGCUCGAGCCCGACCACCAAACCUUGCAACUAGCGGAGUGGGAACCUCAGGAAUUCGCAAUAUGGCCUCGGGCUCGAGUUCGGUCGCCGUGGAUUCCAGUGAGAUUGCCCGAAUCAUUCAAGAAGGAAUUAUAGAUGUCCUACAGAGGAAUGCUUGGGGGUCAACGGGUUUUAUCCCUAACACCCCGUUCACUCCUGAGGUAUUAUCAUUCUCCAUACCGGACAGAUUUAAGUACCCCGUAUAAAAGAAUAUGAUGGAACUACCGACCCUAUCAACCAUCUUAAUAUCUAUACCGACGUCAUGAACUUGCAAGUUGCCCCAGACCAGGUGAUGUGCAAAGCUUUUCCUCAAACGUUGACCCACGCAGCCAGGGACUGGUUCUCAACCUUAGAGCCCAAUUCUAUAGCCUCUUUCUCAGAUCUGGUCGAUAAGUUCUCUACCUUCUUUGCCAGUAGUAAGCGCAUCAGAAAGAUAGCGACUUCCCUCAUGCAACUUGGUCAAGGAUAGAAUGAAACCCUACAUGACUUCAUGAAGAGGUUUAAUAAAUAAAGACUUCAGAUCCCUGAUCUCCAUAUCACAGUAGCAAUUUUCGCCCUCACCCAUGCUAUAAGAUGUGAAGCAUUCGAGAUGAGUUUGUCAAAAAUUCCCCCAAAGUCAGUGACCGAGCUUCUGACCUGAGGAGAGAAAUACAUUAAUAUGGAAGAAACAUUGAAUCCAAUGUGAGUUAGUCCGACUUAUGAUGGGGCCGAGCAUAAGAGGCAACGUGAGUUGUAUCUACAGCAAGACCUUACCAGAGGAAAGCAGAAGCAAGGAACACCACCAACACUUACCCAUUUGAACACCUCUAGGUCGAACAUAUUAAUGGAAAUCAAAGAUAUGAAGGUGUUCAAUUGGCCACCGCGGUUGAGGUCUCCCCCUGAGACCAGGGACAAGAACAAGUACUGUAACUACCAUCGUGACCAUGGGCAUACUACAAAGGAUUGCAUUACAUUGCAACGUGAGAUUGAAGCUUUGAUAAAAAGAGGUUUCCUAAAGGAGUAUAUCAGGCAUGACAAGCGUCCCAGGAAUGAUUGCAACAAUGGAAACACCACAGAAUCUGGGAGAGGUAACCAACCAACAGUAGGUACCAUCAACCUUAUAACCCGGGGGAUUGCCUCGGGAGAAGAUUCAAAUAGUGGGCACAAAUAAUAUGCCCGACGACACAGUUCCAUAUAAAUGACAGCUCCCAACGACAUGAAAGAUAUCACAUUUGGAUCGAAGGACUCAAAAGACAUAUCAUACCCUCAUGACGAUGCCUUGGUCAUAUCUACCAUCAUCGCCAACUUUGAAGUAAGGAGGGUCUUGGUUGACAAUGGAAGUGCGGCCAAUGUGUUGUCCCAAGAGGCCUUCAUGAAGAUGGGUAUUUCUGUUAACCAGUUCAAGACAGUCAAAACAUUGCUCCAGGGAUUUGGGCGUGGGACAAUCAUCCUGGCAGGAAUCGUUGAUCUUCCCCUAACGUUGGGCUCAGGGCAAAAUCAGGUGACAGAAGUCACUCCCUUUCAUGUAGUCCAUGUUUCGAUGGCCUACAAUGCCAUCAUCGGGAGACCAUUGCUCAAUAAAAUUAGGGCCAUUGUAUCCACCUUCCAUCUUGUUAUGAAGUUUCCAAUAAGUGACGAUAUAGGGAUCGUACGUAGAGAUCAGAAAGCAGCAAAGCAGUGCUAUGUUACUUGUGUUCGGGGAAUGAGCACUGAUGUCAUGCAAGUAUCAACCCCUAAGUUCGAGCUCGAGAACCAGCAAAAAUUUGUCCCAGAAGAACUGAUAGAGGCCGAGGUCGAGCAUAGCGAAUAUUGAUGAUCGCUUAGGAUUUAUUUUUAUUUUUUGGUUUCCAUUUUGGCUUGUUUAGUUUAGUUUACUUGGGUUUGCAUGCCCUAUGCUUUUUUGGUUAGUUUACCUUUAUUCGGGCUAGUACGCCCUAUGCAUUUUCUUAUCUACUUAAAUAGUUAUUUUGACA